rnacentral:lncRNA from 1 species
GCCAGGCUGGAGUGCAAUGACACAAUCUUGGCUCACUGCAAGCUCCACCUCCUGGGUUCACGCCAUUCUCCUGCCUCAGCCUCCUGAGUAGCUGGGACUACAGGUGCCCACCACCACACCCGGCUAAUUUUUUUGUAUUUUUAGUAGAGAUGAGGUUUCACUGUGUUAGCCAGGAUGGCCUCGAUCUCCUGACCUCGUGAUCCGCCCGCCUCGGCCUCCCAAAGUACUGGGAUUACAGGCGUGAGCCACCACACCUGGCCAAGGAUCUCAGUUUUAAUCAUGAUGAUAGAGAAGAAAAGAACAUAAAAUUGGCCAUAAAAAUAAUCCAAUUAUCCAAAUUAUUCAAUUGGUAUAGAAAUUAAGUAAUUGAACAUUGGAACUCAUCAAUUACAGCAUUUUUGCAAUAUGUUCUCACAUUAUUUUGCCAAAAAUUAAAAACUGACUGGAUUUCAUUAUUUCCAAGUCCCUUUGCUUUUCUGGAAAUUUCUUACAAUAUUCCCAAAGGUCUUUAGCUAUUUAAACAAAUAUUUUAACUCUUCAGAGAGAUUAUACAUAUUACUAAAACAGGGAAAUGCUAUGAUAACUUUAAAAUAAUCUGCUUUAGAAGUCACUAAUCUUAUCAUUGUAAGAAUUGAUUAGCAGAGAGGAACUCAACAUUAUAUUGGACAAGAAGAGUAAAUGACCAUGGUACUUUAGCUAUUUUAUUCAUCGUGGUAACCUAUAUCAAAAAUUAUAGAUAAAAUAGAUCUUCCCAUGCAAUGAGGUGGUUUCUUCAGCUGCAAUAUGUCUUUCCCUAUCAGCCAGCAUUUGUAGGGCAGUGGAGAAUAUUUGUCUUCCACUUUCCUCAUCUUCACAAAAAUAAUGAUGUCAUAAAACAGAAAGAUGCCAUUUUGCAAUUGAUAACCCAGGUAUGUCAAUGGCAUCCCAUCACAGUGAAAUGCCAUGGACCCUUUCUUCCUACUGGUAAUUGGAAUGAGAUUGAAUCUUAACAUAUGCAACAUAUGUAGUGUUGAUUAAUGUAUAUAAUCACCUUUGCUGAGAGACAGUAAUGCCGUGAUCAAGUGUGUAGUAUUUUGAGUUAGACUGCCUGGGUUUGAAACCUGUUUUACUAACUUUACUAAUUGUGUGGCCUUAAGCAAGUUGCUUUGCUUUUUUUUUUUUUUUUUGAGACAGGGUCUCACUCUGUCACCCAAGCUGGAGUGCAGUGGCAUGAUCUCGGCUCACUGCUAUCUCCGCCUCCUGGGUUCCAGUGAUUCUCCUGGGUUCAAGCCUCCAGAGUAGCUGGGAUUACAGAAGAAGAAGAAAACAAGAAGGGUAAAACUGGCACUUUUCUGAAGUGAGAAUAGUAAAAAGAAAGAUAUCCCCCAAAAUCAAUUCUUGGAGCAGCCCUAUUGUUGUAACACCAUGGUUAAGAGCAUUGGACUUGGUCAUUAAAUGCUCAGCUCUACCACCACCAGCUCUGAGACCAUGGGAGAAACUAUAUGACUUCUCUGUGCUUUCAUUUCCUCCUAUAGUGCUAUGAGGAUUAAAUAAAGUUGAUCAAACACUUAA